AUACUCUGGUUUCUCUUCAAAUUGUAUAAAUCUUUUGCCUUUUACUAAAGAUUUCUGUAGAGAGGAACAAUUCUGAGUCUUAAUCCAAUUUUUUGAGGUCCUGUUUCUAUGGGGCU
ensembl:snRNA U5 U5 spliceosomal RNA